UGCUAACUCCCACAUUGGUUUGCAGAGGGAAUGCUAACGAUGCUAACUUGCAGUUAGGGUUCUUUAGGCAAUGUGAGACCACAGUGAGGUGGAGGUCACAGUGAGAGACAGUUCACAUUAAGAUGGAGGUCACAGUAGAUAGAGGUCACAGUGAGAGACAGGUCACAGUAGAUGGAGGUCACAGUGAGAUACAGGUCACAGUGAGAUGGAGGUCACAGGAAGAUGCAGGUCACAGUGAGAUGGAGAUCACAUUGAGAUGGAGGUCACAGUACGAUGGAGGUUACAGUGAAAUGGAGGUCACAGUAAGAUGGAGGUUACAGUGAGAUGCAGGUCAGAGUGAGAUGGAGGUCACAGGAAGAUGCAGGUCACAGUGUGAUGCAGGUCACAGUGAGAUGGAAGUCACAGUGAGAUGGAGGCCACAGUGAGAUGGAGGCCACAGGAGGAUGCAGGUCAGAGUGAGACGGUGGUUACAGUGAGAUGGAGGUCACAGUAAGAUGGAGGUCACAGUAAGAUGGAGGUUACAGUGAGAUGCAGGUCAGAGUGAGAUGGAGGUCAUAGGAAGAUGCAGGUCACAGUGUGAUGCACGUCACAGUGAGAUGGAGGUCACAGUGAGAUGCAGUUCACAGUAAGAUGGAGGUCACAGUGAGAUGCAGGUCAUAGUGAGAUGCAGUUCACAGUAAGAUGGAGGUCACAGUGAGAUGCAGGUCAUAGUGAGAUGCAGUUCACAGUGAGAUGCAGGUCACAGUGAGAUGCAGUUCACAGUAAGAUGCAGGUCAUAGUGAGAUGGAGGCCACAGGAAGAUGCAGUUCACAGUGAGAUGGAGGUCACAGUGAGAUGCAGGUCAUAGUGAGAUGCAGUUCACAGUAAGAUGGAGGUCACAGUGAGAUGCAGGUCACAGUGAGAUGCAGUUCACAGUGAGAUGCAGUUCACAGUGAGAUGCAGGUCAUAGUGAGAUGCAGGUCAUAGUGAGAUGCAGUUCACAGUGAGAUGCAGUUCACAGUGAGAUGGAGGCCACAGGAAGAUGGAGGCCACAGGAAGAUGCAGGUCAGAGUGAGACGGUGGUUACAGUAAGAUGGAGGUCACAGUAAGAUGGAGGUUACAGUGAGAUGCAGGUCAGAGUGAGAUGGAGGUCAUAGGAAGAUGCAGGUCACAGUGUGAUGCAGGUCACAGUGAGAUGGAGGUCACAGUGAGAUGCAGUUCACAGUAAGAUGGAGGUCACAGUGAGAUGCAGGUCAUAGUGAGAUGCAGUUCACAGUAAGAUGGAGGUCACAGUGAGAUGCAGGUCAUAGUGAGAUGCAGUUCACAGUGAGAUGGAGACCACAGGAAGAUGCAGUUCACAGUAAGAUGGAGGUCACAGUGAGAUGCAGGUCAUAGUGAGAUGCAGUUCACAGUAAGAUGCAGGUCAUAGUGAGAUGCAGGUCAUAGUGAGAUGCAGGUCAUAGUAAGAUGCAGUUCACAGUGAGAUGGAGGCCACAGUGAGAUGCAGUUCACAGUAAGAUGCAGGUCAUAGUGAGAUGCAGGUCAUAGUGAGAUGCAGGUCAUAGUAAGAUGCAGUUCACAGUGAGAUGGAGGCCACAGGAAGAUGCAGGUCACAGUGAGAUGGCGGUCACAGUAUGAUGGAGGUGACAGUUAGA